rnacentral:ncRNA from 2 species
AUGGAAGAAGUCAGUUCAUGUUCGCCGCGCGGAACGCGGCGCUGAGAGGGAAGCAGGUGAGAAACCUGCGCGGUACCGCCACUGUAAGUGGGAGUCCGGCCCCCGCCCGCACGGGCAGUCACUGGUAUUUCCGGGAAGACGGGGUCAGGAUGAAGAACACGAGCCAGGAAACCUGCAUGAAAGGAAUUCUGCGG